rnacentral:rRNA from 1 species
GACGAACGCUGGCGGCGUGCUUAACACAUGCAAGUCGAGCGGUAAGGCUCCUUCGGGAGUACACGAGCGGCGAACGGGUGAGUAACACGUGAGCAAUCUGCCCUUCACUUUGGGAUAACUCCGGGAAACCGGUGCUAAUACCGAAUACGACCACCGAUGGCAUCAUCUGGUGGUGGAAAGUUCCGGUGGUGAGGGAUGAGCUCGCGGCCUAUCAGCUUGUUGGUGGGGUAAUGGCCACCAAGGCAACGACGGGUAGCCGGCCUGAGAGGGUGACCGGCCACACUGGGACCGAGACACGGCCCAGACUCCUACGGGAGGGCAGCAGGUGGGGAAUAUUGGACGAAUUGGGCGAAAGCCUGAUCCAGCAACGCCGCGUGAGGGAUGACGGCC